rnacentral:rRNA from 1 species
UACGUAGGGAGCAAGCGUUGUCCGGAAUCAUUGGGCGUAAAGCGCGCGUAGGUGGCUUCGUAAGUCCGUUGUGAAAGUCAAAGGCUCAACCUUUGAAAGCCGAUGGAUACUGUGGAGCUAGAGUACGGAAGAGGCGAGUGGAAUUCCUGGUGUAGCGGUGGAAUGCGCAGAUAUCAGGAGGAACACCAAUAGCGAAGGCAGCUCGCUGGGACGUUACUGACACUGAGAGACGAAAGCUAGGGGAGCGAAUGGG